rnacentral:ncRNA from 1 species
GUAAAGAUAAUGAUGGGGAGUAGUAAAUGGUGUAGCCCUGCAGAGAGCCGUCGGUUGGUGUGAGACGGUGGGUAAAGCUAUUGAAGCUCGCCCCGGAGUUGUUUGAGGGAAAAUAGUACUUCAAGCCGGGUUGGCCCGUUAUAGCUUUAAAGAGGAUAAGGACACUUAUCAAUUUGGGUGGUACCGCGGGAGAAACCUCUCGUCCCUUUG